UACGUAGGGACCAAGCGUUGUUCGGAUUUACUGGGCGUAAAGGGCGCGUAGGCGGCGUGACAAGUCAAUUGUGAAAUCUCCGGGCUUAACUCGGAACGGUCAAUUGAUACUGUUGUGCUAGAGUACAGAAGGGGCAAUCGGAAUUCUUGGUGUAGCGGUGAAAUGCGUAGAUAUCAAGAGGAAUACCUGAGGUGAAGACGGGUUGCUAGGCCGACACUGACGCUGAAGCGCGAAAGCCAGGGGAGCAAACGGG
rnacentral:rRNA from 1 species